rnacentral:rRNA from 1 species
GACGAACGCUGGCGGCGUGCCUAAUACAUGCAAGUCGAGCGGAUCUUCAUUAGCUUGCUUUUGAAGAUCAGCGGCGGACGGGUGAGUAACACGUGGGCAACCUGCCUGUAAGACUGGGAUAACUUCGGGAAACCGGAGCUAAUACCGGAUAAUCCUUUUCCUCUCAUGGGGAAAAGCUGAAAGACGGGUUCGGCUGUCACUUACAGAUGGGCCCGCGGCGCAUUAGCUAGUUGGUGAGGCAACGGCUCACCAAGGCGACGAUGCGUAGCCGACCUGAGAGGGUGAUCGGCCACACUGGGACUGAGACACGGCCCAGACUCCUACGGGAGGCAGCAGUAGGGAAUCUUCCGCAAUGGACGAAAGUCUGACGGAGCAACGCCGCGUGAGCGAUGAAGGCCUCCGGGUCGUAAAGCUCUGUUGUCAGGGAAGAACAAGUAUCGGAGUAACUGCCGGUACCUUGACGGUACCUGACCAGAAAGCCACGGCUAACUACGUGCCAGCAGCCGCAGUAAAAC